GACGAACGCUGGCGGCGUGCUUAACACAUGCAAGUCGAACGGAAAGGCCCUGCUUGCAGGGUACUCGAGUGGCGAACGGGUGAGUAACACGUGGGUGAUCUGCCCUGCACUUCGGGAUAAGCCUGGGAAACUGGGUCUAAUACCGGAUAGGAGCCAUUUUUAGUGUGAUGGUUGGAAAGUUUUUUCGGUGUAGGAUGAGCUCGCGGCCUAUCAGCUUGUUGGUGGGGUAAUGGCCUACCAAGGCGGCGACGGGUAGCCGGCCUGAGAGGGUGGACGGCCACAUUGGGACUGAGAUACGGCACAGACUACUACGGGAGGAAGGAGUGGGGAAUAGUGCACAAUGGGCGCAAGCCUGAUGCAGCGACGCCGCGUGGGGGAUGACGGCCUUCGGGUUGUAAACUCCGUUCGCUAGGGACGAAGCUUUUUGUGACGGUACCUAGAGAAGAAGCACCGGCUAACUACGUG
rnacentral:rRNA from 1 species